rnacentral:rRNA from 1 species
AUGCAAGUCGAACGGAAACGAUACUAGCUUGCUAGUAGGCGUCGAGUGGCGGACGGGUGAGUAACGCGUAGGAAUCUGCCUGAUAGUGGGGGAUAGCCCGAAGAAAUUCGGAUUAAUACCGCAUAAUCUAUUCGUAGUAAAGUGGGGGACUUUCGAGCCUCACGCUAUCAGAUGAGCCUGCGUAAGAUUAGCUUGUUGGUAGGGUAAAAGCCUACCAAGGCGACGAUCUUUAGCUGGUCUGAGAGGAUGAUCAGCCACAUCGGGACUGAGACACGGCCCGAACUCCUACGGGAGGCAGCAGUGGGGAAUAUUGGACAAUGGGGGCAACCCUGAUCCAGCAAUACCGCGUGUGUGAAGAAGGCCUGAGGGUUGUAAAGCACUUUCAAUUGUGAAGAAAAGUUAGCGGUUAAUAACCGUUAGCCUUGACGUUAACUUUAGAAGAAGCACCGGCUAACUCCGUGCCAGCAGCCGCGGUAAUACGGAGGGUGCAAGCGUUAAUCGGAAUUACUGGGCGUAAAGCGUGCGUAGGCGGUUUAUUAAGUCAGAUGUGAAAGCCCCGGGCUUAACCUGGGAACUGCAUUUGAAACUGGUCAACUAGAGUAUGGUAGAGGAAAGUGGAAUUUCUGGUGUAGCGGUGAAAUGCGUAGAUAUCAGAAGGAACAUCAAUGGCGAAGGCAGCUUUCUGGACCAAUACUGACGCUGAGGUACGAAAGCGUGGGUAGCAAACAGGAUUAGAUACCCUGGUAGUCCACGCCGUAACGAUGAUACUAGCCGUUGGGGGGAUUUACCCUUUAGUGGCGAAGCUAACGCGUUAAGUUAUCCGCCUGGGGAGUACGGCCGCAAGGUUAAAACUCAAAGGAAUUGACGGGACCCGCACAAGCGGUGGAGCAUGUGGUUUAAUUCGAUGCAACGCGAGAACCUUACCUGGUCUUGACAUCCUGCGAACUUUCUAGAAAUAGAUUGGUGCCUUCGG